UAAAACNGGUGUUUUGCUGCUGGCUCAGG
rnacentral:piRNA from 1 species